rnacentral:misc_RNA from 1 species
UAGAAAAACGGGACAAAGAAGG